UCCCUGAGACUUUAAGUCUCCUGAAGGAACGUUGAAGACGACGACGUUGAUAGGCCGGGUGUGUAAGCGCAGCGAUGCGUUGAGCUAACCGGUACUAAUGAACCGUGAGGCUUAACCUUACAACGCCGAAGAUGUUUUG
rnacentral:rRNA from 1 species